rnacentral:rRNA from 1 species
UUGAUAAGUGACCCACCUGGGGAGUACGAUCGCAAGAUUGAAACUCAAAGGAAUUGACGGGGGCCCGCACAAGCGGUGGAGCAUGUGGUUUAAUUCGAUGAUACGCGAGGAACCUUACCAGGGCUUAAAUGUAAGUUGCAUAGAGUAGAGAUAUUCUUUUCUUCGGACUACUUACAAGGUGCUGCAUGGUUGUCGUCAGCUCGUGCCGUGAGGUGUCAGGUUAAGUCCUAUAACGAGCGCAACCCCUACCGUUAGUUGCCAGCAUGUAAAGAUGGGGACUCUAGCGGGACUGCCGGUGCAAACCGAGAGGAAGGUGGGGAUGACGUCAAAUCAUCACGGCCCUUACGUCCUGGGCUACACACGUGCUACAAUGGUCGGUACAGAGGGCAGGCCCUGCGUGAGCAGGAGCGAAUCCUUAAAACCGAUCUCAGUUCGGAUCGGAGUCUGCAACUCGAUCCGUGAAGCUGGAAUCGCUAGUAAUCGGAUAUCAGCCAUGAUCCGGUGAAUACGUUCCCGGGCCUUGUACCACCGCCCGUCAAGCCAUGGAAGCUGGGGGUGCCUGAAGUCGGUG